AGAUGACACACACUUCCGUCUUCCACUUUAGUCUUCCUGGAAAAUACUUCGCUUUUGACAGUGAGAAAAGUAACCGGCCAGCUAUCAGUGACGUCACAUCAGUGGAAACCGAAACUUCGUCAAGAGCGGCACAGGACGCGUCCAGACUCGAAAAUGUAUGCACACCCAGUUCUUCGACAAGACUCCUCAUGGCUCCAUCAGAGGAGGUGAAGCGCCGUGAAGGUGAAAAGGUGGUGUGUGGCAGGGCUAAACCCAAGGAGGAGGUGCUGACAGAAACAAGGGCAUUUGUCUCAAGUCACGGUGGAGACCCCACUGACCAGCUUCUGGUACUGGCUCACCAUCAGUUGCAGUUUGGCAUGUACCAGGGUUAGAGAUUCAGGUGGAUUCUGGACAACUCGCUCGGAUAUGCAGUGUAUUUACUGCAUAGCAUAUCAAAGGAGCCCAAGCAUGAGACCCUCUGUCACAGAACAAACAGCUCUUCCUCCAGUACACAUCUCAAAUCAAAGAGUUGACAGAUGAACUGGCUAGGUUUACCAAGACGCUGGAGAUGAAGGCUAAGGGCCACCAAACUGGGGAUCAGGGCCAUUUGAUGGUAGAGUUUGGAGACUUUAUGGGCCGCUCCAUGAAAGAGGUUUUUGAGGACCAGAGCAAGGAAGCACAGGCCCUCAUCAGCUACCUGGUUAAGACACCUGCCCGGCCAAACACCAACAUGGCCAUUUUCAAGGCAUAUGUCUUGAAAAGGCUCGCAUCUUCCAAGGCUCCCAGAGAAGACCGGCCAGCAUCAUCCUCUGCUGCCUCCACUGCCUCUGCUCCCCCGACUCCCACUCUUUUAAACUCCAGCUCCUAUGUGUACCGUACCCACAAGACCCCAAAUGGAACAGCUAGCCACUACUGGCACUUCGGAGGAUGAUGACGAGGAGUUGGUUUUAGCUGCGUCUCAGUGUGAAGCUCUACUGAAUACAGGUGUGGUAUACAACUCCAAUGCAAAUAAUGUACACGUUUAGCAUAGCAGACACACGACAAUACAGCAUCCUCCUUGCUCAUUUAUCCAAUAGCACUGCACUGUGAAUCAGUCUAUGUCACGGGUGGCCAACCAGUCUGAGGCUAGGAGCCACAUUGUUUUACUGUGCUGCUGAAAAGAGCCACAUCCUACAAAUAUGUAAGGCUGUAAGGCUCACCUGAACAGCUGGUCAUGUGACUUAGCGAUAGUAUAGCGGUUAAAGCACAACCCUGUGUGUCACAGGUUGCUGGUUCACGUCCAGCAUAUGUCUCUUGUGCAUGUAUUUUUAAAAUUCAUACAUUUUAAAAUCGGAAUAUCAAGUGGCGUAUAUAGAAAUGUGUGCGCCAUUUAUUUUACUUAUAUAUAUUUUUUACCUGCCUCAUGUCACCAAUAACAUCACCCCAGUCUGUGUGUGCGAGCGACGCUGCAGACUGGAGCGUCUCAUCUUCACUCCACUGAAUUAAACAGACUCCACGAUGAUCCACAAUGAAUAAAAGGUGAAACACAUGCCAUACGUUUAGUUUAGGGAAUGACAAAGUGAAACAUGGAACUAGGUCAUGUUAAAUCGUGUUGAUCGUGGAUCUGAUGACGGUCUUAGGACCGUGGCUCACAUCGGCGUGCUCUGAGCCGGGGGGGCGGCGACUUGGUGCACGUGCGACCAGGUUUAUUGUUUAUGUUCCAAAGUUAAACUCAUGUCACAGUCUUUGAACAAUAUUACCCUCCAUCAUAGUAUUGGAAACAUUAAACUGUGUGUUGAUAUUGUAAAGUAAACAUUCAGCCGUAUUUAAUUUUGUACGAACAAGUAAACCUUCACCUUAAAGUGUAAAUAUUCA